GGUAGAGCACUGUUUCGGCUAGGGGGCCAUCCCGGCUUACCAACCCGAUGCAAACUGCGAAUACCGGAGAAUGUUAUCACGGGAGACACACGGCGGGUGCUAACGUCCGUCGUGAAGAGGGAAACAACCCAGACCGCCAGCUAAGGUCCCAAAGUCAUGGUUAAGUGGGAAACGAUGUGGGAAGGCCCAGACAGCCAGGAUGUUGGCUUAGAAGCAGCCAUCAUUUAAAGAAAGCGUAAUAGCUCACUGGUCGAGUCGGCCUGCGCGGAAGAUGUAACGGGGCUAAACCAUGCACCGAAGCUGCGGCAGCGAACGUAUCACCCAAGACAACUUUACGGAGUUGACGAUUGACGGAGCGAAGCGACGUCAAAGCGUUCAUUAAAGUCGAGUUGGCUUAGGGAUACGUUCGUUGGGUAGGGGAGCGUUCUGUAAGCCUGUGAAGGUGUGUCGUGAGGCAUGCUGGAGGUAUCAGAAGUGCGAAUGCUGACAUAAGUAACGAUAAAGCGGGUGAAAAGCCCGCUCGCCGGAAGACCAAGGGUUCCUGUCCAACGUUAAUCGGGGCAGGGUGAGUCGACCCCUAAGGCGAGGCCGAAAGGCGUAGUCGAUGGGAAACGGGUUAAUAUUCCCGUACUUGGUGUUACUGCGAAGGGGGGACGGAGAAGGCUAUGUUGGCCGGGCGACGGUUGUCCCGGUUUAAGCGUGUAGGUGUGUGUUCCAGGUAAAUCCGGUUCACUUUAACACUGAGGCGUGACGACGAGGCACUACGGUGCUGAAGCAACAAAUGCCCUGCUUCCAGGAAAAGCCUCUAAGCAUCAGGUAACAUCAAAUCGUACCCCAAACCGACACAGGUGGUCAGGUAGAGAAUACCAAGGCGCUUGAGAGAACUCGGGUGAAGGAACUAGGCAAAAUGGUGCCGUAACUUCGGGAGAAGGCACGCUGACACGUAGGUGAAGUGAUUUACUCAUGGAGCUGAAGUCAGUCGAAGAUACCAGCUGGCUGCAACUGUUUAUUAAAAACACAGCACUGUGCAAACACGAAAGUGGACGUAUACGGUGUGACGCCUGCCCGGUGCCGGAAGGUUAAUUGAUGGGGUCAGCGCAAGCGAAGCUCCUGAUCGAAGCCCCGGUAAACGGCGGCCGUAACUAUAACGGUCCUAAGGUAGCGAAAUUCCUUGUCGGGUAAGUUCCGACCUGCACGAAUGGCGUAAUGAUGGCCAGGCUGUCUCCACCCGAGACUCAGUGAAAUUGAACUCGCUGUGAAGAUGCAGUGUACCCGCGGCAAGACGGAAAGACCCCGUGAACCUUUACUAUAGCUUGACACUGAACAUUGAGCCUUGAUGUGUAGGAUAGGUGGGAGGCUUUGAAGUGUGGACGCCAGUCUGCAUGGAGCCGACCUUGAAAUACCACCCUUUAAUGUUUGAUGUUCUAACGUGGACCCGUAAUCCGGGUUGCGGACAGUGUCUGGUGGGUAGUUUGACUGGGGCGGUCUCCUCCUAAAGAGUAACGGAGGAGCACGAAGGUUGGCUAAUCCUGGUCGGACAUCAGGAGGUUAGUGCAAUGGCAUAAGCCAGCUUGACUGCGAGCGUGACGGCGCGAGCAGGUGCGAAAGCAGGUCAUAGUGAUCCGGUGGUUCUGAAUGGAAGGGCCAUCGCUCAACGGAUAAAAGGUACUCCGGGGAUAACAGGCUGAUACCGCCCAAGAGUUCAUAUCGACGGCGGUGUUUGGCACCUCGAUGUCGGCUCAUCACAUCCUGGGGCUGAAGUAGGUCCCAAGGGUAUGGCUGUUCGCCAUUUAAAGUGGUACGCGAGCUGGGUUUAGAACGUCGUGAGACAGUUCGGUCCCUAUCUGCCGUGGGCGCUGGAGAACUGAGGGGGGCUGCUCCUAGUACGAGAGGACCGGAGUGGACGCAUCACUGGUGUUCGGGUUGUCAUGCCAAUGGCACUGCCCGGUAGCUAAAUGCGGAAGAGAUAAGUGCUGAAAGCAUCUAAGCACGAAACUUGCCCCGAGAUGAGUUCUCCCUGAGACUUAGAGUCUCCUGAAGGAACGUUGAAGACGACGACGUUGAUAGGCCGGGUGUGUAAGCGCAGCGAUGCGUUGAGCUAACCGGUACUAAUGAACCGUGAGGCUUAACCUU
rnacentral:rRNA from 1 species